UCCCCGUCAAUUCAUUUGAKUUUAACCUUGCGGCCGUACUCCCCAGGCGGUCGACUUAACGCGUUAGCUCCCGGAAGCCACGCCUCAAAGGCCACACUUCCAAGUCGACAUCGUUUACGGCGUGGACUACCAGGGCAUCUAAUCCUGUUUGCUCCCCCACGCUUUCGCACCUGAGCGUCAGUCUUCGUCCAGGGGGCCGCCUUCGCCACCGGUAUUCCUCCAGAUCUCUACGCAUUUCACCGCUACACCUGGAAUUCUACCCCCCUCUACGAGACUCAAGCUUGCCAGUAUCAGAUGCAGUUCCCAGGUUGAGCCCGGGGAUUUCACAUCUGACUUAACAAACCACCUGCGUGCGCUUUACGCCCAGUAAUUCCGAUUAACGCUUGCACCCUCCGUAUUACCGCGGCUGCUGGCACGGAGUUAGCCGGUGCUUCUUCUGCGGGUAACGUCAAUGAGCAAAGGUAUUAACUUUACUCCCUUCCUCCCCGCUGACAGUACUUUACAACCCGAAGGCCUUCUUCAUACACGCGGCAUGGCUGCAUCAGGCUUGCGCCCAUUGUGCAAUAUUCCCCACUGCUGCCUCCCGUAGGAGUCUGGACCGUGUCUCAGUUCCAGUGUGGCUGGUCAUCCUCACAGACCAGCUAGGGAUCGUCGCCUAGGUGAGCCGUUACCCCACCUACUAGCUAAUCCCAUCUGGGCACAUCCGAUGGCAAGAGGCCCGAAGGUCCCCCUUUUUGGUCUUGCGACGUUAUGCGGUAUUAGCUACCGUUUCCAGUAGUUAUCCCCCUCCAUCAGGCAGUCUCCCAGACAUUACUCACCCGUCCGCCACUCGUCAGCAAAGAAGCAAGCUUCUUCCUGUUACCGUUCGACUUGCAUGUGUUAGGCCUGCCGCCAGCGUUCAAUCUGAGCCAGAAUCAAACUCU
rnacentral:rRNA from 1 species